AUUGAACGCUGGCGGCAGGCCUAACACAUGCAAGUCGAGCGAGAGGCGGACGGGUGAGUAAUGUAUGGGGACUGCCCGAUAGAGGGGGAUAACUACUGGAAACGGUGGCUAAUACCGCAUACUAUCGGAUAACCCAUAUGGGGUUAGUUAGUAGGUGGGGUAAAGGCUCACCUAGGCGACGAUCUCUAGCUGGUCUGAGAGGAUGAUCAGCCACACUGUGACUGAAACACGGCCCAGACUCCGACGGAGGCAGCAGUGGGGAAUAUUGCACAAUGGGCGCAAGCCUGAUGCAGCCAUGCGGCGUGUAUGAAGCGGUCCUUCGGGUUGUAAAGUACUUUCAGCGAGGAGGCGUUACUCGCAGAAGAAUCACCGGCUAACGCCGUGCCAGCAGCCGCGGUAC
rnacentral:rRNA from 1 species